ensembl:lncRNA
GAAGAAACCUCGCUCUAUAAUGGUGUGAAAGAAAGGAGGUGUGGUGUCAUCAUCAGAACUGUGCUAGGAAGAAACGUGAAGAUGUUACAUCACCGAGAGUAGGGGUAUAGAGGGGGACACAGAAGAGGACCGAGCACUGGGCCUUGUGGGACGCCAGUUUUAAGUCCGUAUCGAGCACGUGUUUAUCCUCUCUGAGUCACCUGACGACGCACCUACAGGUAGAACAAAAAAAAAAAAAAAAAAAAACCCUCCUGAAGUGACGCAAACUCUCGCAUGACCCGUUUGUCUGGAAACACCUGUAUACCUGCUAUUUUUUACUAUUUCUGUAUUCAUGACUGAAAUACACUCCUGAUUCCUCCGUCAAAAAAAAAGUUGCUCUGAAGGACAAUUCAGUGUCCCUUUGGCAUCAUGGAUGGAAGGAUAAGAAUUCGGCAGCUCCAGGAUCACCACCGCACUGCUGGGUCUGGGUUACGGUCUUGCAUGUUCUCCGCCUGUCUAGGGUUGGCUCAGGUUCUCUGCACAAAAGAAUAAAAACAUUUCAAUGCUGGGAUUGGUGACUUGGUGACUUGGUGUGGUUGAGUGCAUGGGUGUGUCUCCAUGGACUGGCCUCCCAGCAGAGGUUUUCUCCUGCCUUGUGCGCAGUGUUCCCAGGGUGGGCUCCAGACUUGCGACCCUGAUUGGGAUGGAGCCAUUAUUGAAAAUGAAGGAGUCCAUGGAAGCAUCCUGCUUGGUCUCCUAUACAGGCUGGUGACGGCGGGGUUAUAUCAGGGAGUGAUCUGCCAGCAUACAUCAAGCACGCUGACGCCCACUAAAGAACGGCUCAUGGCAUGAUGGCAUGGCUAAUCAAAGCCAGGAACAAGGCUCAGUUUUCUUCCUCGGGUUGUUGCACCGACCAUGGAUCUCAAGCCUAUCAAGCAAUCUUUGCCUGAUGCAGAAAUGCCAGAAGUUGGUCUUGCAUGGGUCAAUAUUUCUACAUGAAAGCAUCCACCAUUUUGUUAAAUCCAGACCCAGGCAUAUUUAUGUUGCCUCUCGAAAGCCGAAGAAGGCACCGAUACUUCUGAUCACUGCUCAACAGAGUCCGAUCUCCAUUCGCAGCCGGAGCUCGAAUCAAGAGAGAGAAGUACAGCAUGGAUCUCCUUAAACUCACUGUACCCUGUGCCGGAUCAGCUCAAACUGGACCUUCCAGCUCUGGAAAGAGCGAAUUUGACUCCGUCGCGCUGAAAUAGCAGCAGCCUCUUCUCCAGCUUCUCUGGAAGAACCAGCAGCUCCUCGUCCCCGCCUUUAACCCGACCUUUUAUCAUUUUCUUCUUAGAAAAAAAAUAAAUAAACAAAAAUGACCUCAAACCGAAACUGUAAACAGGCUAAACCGUGAGCUAGCUGACCUGACUAACAAGAGAAGAAAAAUAAAAACAGCUUAAGCUAAACCACGCCUCACUGAACAGCCAUUUUGUAUAAACCCGUUAGCUCGAUUGUGUCACGCGCGUUUUGAUAUUUCGCGGCAAUGUGGUGUGGCGCCUACGUCAUAUCCGCGCGACACGAGCUGCACGAGCUAAGCGCCACAGGGCUGCUACAGUUACUGCGUAGUUUGUGCGGAAGAGGAGAAAAAAAAAAAACAACGAUUGGUUGCAUAACGUGCAGUAUGCUAGAUAUACACACAUGGAUGAUUUAUAAACAGCAACUACGAUCAAAUUAUUAAAUUAUCAAAUUAUGUUGUUAAUGAUGAUACUUUGUGUUAUGUACUUAAUAAAUCGAUCUCGGGUGUUAGAGAGGUGCUAU